ensembl:lncRNA
UUGCUGUGGUUGCUCUCCUCAGUUUCUCUACUUUGCAGGGCAAACAUGCAAUGCUGCACUUUCUUCUUGAGCUUACGUUUCUUUCCCCGUAGCAUUUAGCCCUCUAAAUGUGGCGGUUGUUCAUCUAGUGAAGGCAACUAAAGAAAUGAGAAAGAGCCAUAUCCUGCAACUGCAAAAUGCCAAGUCAGCAGGUCCCAGGCAUGCUGACUUUUCCUCUGCAGGCAGCAGUCAGGCAGUGUGGGCAUGCCCUCCUCUAUCCCCCAUGCUCCUUGGGCAGCAGCUAGAGGGUAUUAGCCAGCCAAGGUUCAACCAGGCACAUCUGCAUUUCAGUCUCUUUCCAUUGCACAGUUAUGGAGGUUGGACUUACCUUCAUUUUCUUUCUCUCCUUUUCCGGCCUGUUUAUGUUACUUGAUGUGGUCACCUGAGUUGAGGAGCAGUGUGGAGCUACUGCAUCCAACAAAGCAUCAAGAGAUGCUGUCACAACCCUACACACAAUCCACUGCAAGACCAAGCCACCAAUUCUGCACAGCCACCAGUGCUGUCUGUGCUUCAGGAAAACUGAGAAAAGCUGAAGAGGCUGAACUUGUCGUCCUGAAGGAGAAGAAAAUGCCUCAGAAAACCAGGAACCCUUCCAUCCAUGCUAAGAGAAUACUUGUUCAAUUAAACGACUUUUACCUGUGUGGCAGCAGCUUGUAUCUCUUAAUGUGCCAAAUCCCUGUCUCACUGUUAGUCUCUGUACCUAGUAGCUGUCUUAAAACCCCUCAGACUGAGAGGUGACCCUCUCACCUCUCUAUCUCCUCCUGGCCAUCGAAGGUCACUUCAGCAAUGUCUAAAGAGUUAUCUUCUUUACUGAAAACACUUGGAGCAGCAUGGUGAAUGCCACUGUCAAGCCUGGAGCCAUAGUCAAAGACAAGGAAGUGCCCUGCCCCCAUGAGAUAAACCUUCUCCAACGCCAGGUUAAAACAAACAAACAAACAACGAAAAAAACAAUUAGAGCUUCCACUGCUCAAAGAUAGCUAUUAACAAACCUGCUGUUUUGCAGAAGUAGCAUGUAUGAACGUAUGUAUCUAUAAAAGAAAACCAACAAAAUUAUCCUCCCUAAAUUGUAAUGGCUUCUUCAGUAUUCAUAUUAAUACUUACUUUAAACCUUGAUGUCUAACUCUUCAUGAGCAUUCCUGUCUAGAGAAAUUAAUUUAUGCUUUGUUCUGAAAGCAUAUCAGCAAAUGGCCAUUGAUGCUGAUAGCCAUUUAUUGCUCCGGCAGUGAGGUUAAACAGCUUGUACUUUUAACUGCAUGGUACAAAAGAUAUAAAACUAUUUGCUUGAGAUAUUAAUCCAGGAUGACCUGAUAUAACAUGACAGUAAAAGAGCUUUUCCCAAAGAAGGGAAAUGUGUGCUUUGCUCGGUACCUCCUGCUGACUUCUCUGUUCCCAGUGAAUAAACAUACAGCUGAAUUCUCCCAUGCAGGUGUGAUCCAGGAAUGAACUGGCAGCACAUCCUUGUAUCUGCGAGUGCCAAGUCUAACUCACAGAAGCAGCCCACCACCAGCUCUGCAGCCAAAAUACUUGCUCCAUUUUCUCAAGAAUCAACAAAAUAACACACGAACAAAAAAUUCACUCAGUAUAUAUCUCUAAAGAAUGAAGCACCUUGGCGUAUAUACAAUGAAGCAUCAUGUGCAAGAAUGGUGUUUCAUGACUCAGCCACCAUAGACGACUUCACGGAAGCAAAAAGGGAAACUGUGCGUGAGGGAAAUGAGAAAUGGUCUAAUGAUUAAAGAUGAUGUACAGUCUAAUCUCUACAGAUGACCUAGUAAUUUGAAGGAGAAGAGCUUAAACGUUGGAAUAUUUCAUCUGAAAUAAUCUGUUCCCCAGAAGAGGGGAGCCACGUGCCCUCAGAUUGCAGCUGCUGAAUUGUCCAGCAGGUUGGCAAAGGAAAGUACAUGCUCUGUUUGCAUAUUUGUCCCGUGCCUUUUGUAUCCCAACUUGAGUUCUAUUCUGUUUCAGUCUGUUUUUCUGUUAAUCAGAAAAAAACUCUGAAAAACAUUAAACUCAGCUCCUCAGCUCUG